CAUGAAGAAUAGCUUUGUUUGCAUUCUGGUAAGUGCUGAGGCUUUGGCUGAUGACAGCUUUCAGCUGCAGCUGAACUAGGCUGGAUUUGUCUCCUGCUCUCCAUAGGUGAGUGUUUCUCUUCCAGAUCUUUGAAUCAGCUUUCUACACGGCUUAAGUGAUGGAACAGGAAAGACUCCAAUAUGGUAACAACGUGAUUUCUAGUGUUUUGGGUGAGGUUUGCCUGCUGAACAGCAAGACAAAAGAAGCUUAAAUUACAGAAGCAGAGAAGCAGAGACAGUCUAGAGGCUCAAUACAGAAAGAUUGUUUCACGUGUAAUGAAAAGCUAGUGUCCAGAUGAUCACUGCGGCCAGAUGGCAAUUUUGAUGCCCUCGUCACUAAGACUUGUCCAAGCCCUGAUGUAUGUGAAGCUCAUCAGGAGGGAAUGCUCGCAAGAAUCAGCUAACACAAUAGCAGCAAGCUUUCAGUGACAGCGUUCAGGAAGGGUGACGAUUCAGGCUGGGAGCAGGUAUGUCAUCACCUGACUUGACCACAUGUAACUUGAUGCUAGAAGUACACCACGUCCUCCCUCCCUGCAUGGCAAGAGAUUGCUCUCUUCUCCUGCAAAGGCAGCCAAAGUAACUUCUGUGUGCUGACUAGAGAGAGAAAACUUGGUGUCACUCCUCGCAAGUCCUGUGGCAGCCAGAUACUGUGUUAGCCACUCACAGGUAGCAUGUCUUUGGUAUCAGGGUGUAAGAGAAUGAACUCUGUAGGAGCGCUGCUGUCAUAGGCCACCAAGGGCCCGGGAUGCCUGGCUGAAAUUUGAUGUUGCAGAUACCUUGGUGUCACUGGAAUCCAUGGAGUUGACACAGUCCUCUGAUGGCUGGAUUUCGGCUUUCUAAGGGUAUUCCUUUCUGUUUCUCAUCUUUUCGGGUGAUAUUGCUUUGCUUUCCUUGGCUUUUUAGUAAUUCCUAUUUUGGUUAUUGUUUCUGGAAUGG